GGCCUCUGGCAAUGGGCAAAGAGACCCCUUGUUGGUAUUGUUCUUAUAUCAGUCAGGAAGGCAGAACAGAUGGAAGUCCUUUGUUUAUUCCAUCUUAAUGCCUGGCUUGGUGGCCAAAAGUGUUUUAUGCUUAGGACACAUAA